GACGAACGCUGGCGGCGUGCCUAAUACAUGCAAGUAGAACGCUGAAGAGAGGAGCUUACUCUUCUUGGAUGAGUUGCGAACGGGUGAGUAACGCGUAGGUAACCUGCCUUGUAGCGGGGGAUAACUAUUGGAAACGAUAGCUAAUACCGCAUAACAAUGGAUGACACAUGUCAUUUAUUUGAAAGGGGCAAUUGCUCCACUACAAGAUGGACCUGCGUUGUAUUAGCUAGUAGGUGAGGUAAUGGCUCACCUAGGCGACGAUACAUAGCCGACCUGAUAGGGUGAGCGGCCACACUGGGACUGAGACACGGCCCAGACUCCUACGGGAGGCAGCAGUAGGGAAUCUUCGGCAAUGGGGGCAACCCUGACCGAGCAACGCCGCGUGAGUGAAGAAGGUUUUCGGAUCGUAAAGCUCUGUUGUAAGUCAAGAACGGGUGUGAGAGUGGAAAGUUCACACUGUGACGGUAGCUUACCAGAAAGGGACGGCUAACUACGUG
rnacentral:rRNA from 1 species